UCCCAGACUCCUACGGGAGGCAGCAGUGGGGAAUAUUGCACAAUGGGGGAAACCCUGAUGCAGCAACGCCGCGUGAGUGAAGAAGUAUUUCGGUAUGUAAAGCUCUAUCAGCAGGGAAGAAGAUGACGGUACCUGAAAAAGAAGCCCCGGCUAACUACGUGCCAGCAGCCGCGGUAAUACGUAGGGGGCAAGCGUUAUCCGGAUUUACUGGGUGUAAAGGGAGCGUAGACGGAAAGGCAAGUCAGAAGUGAAAGCCCAAGGCUCAACCAUGGGACUGCUUUUGAAACUGUCAAACUAGAGUACGGGAGAGGUAAGAGGAAUUCCUAGUGUAGCGGUGAAAUGCGUAGAUGUUAGGAGGAACACCAGUGGCGAAGGCGGCCUGCUGGACGAUGACUGACGUUGAGGCUCGAAAGCGUGGGGAGCAAACAGGAUUAGAUACCCCCGUACAA
rnacentral:rRNA from 1 species